rnacentral:rRNA from 1 species
GUCUCAGUGCAAGCCAAAUUAAGGUGAAACCGCGAAUGGCUCAUUAAAUCAGUUAUGGUUCCUUAGAUCGUACCACAUUACUUGGAUAACUGUGGUAAUUCUAGAGCUAAUACAUGCAAACAGAGUCCCGACCAGAAAUGGAAGGGACGCUUUUAUUAGAUCAAAACCAAUCGGUCGGCUUGUCCGGUCCGUUUGCCUUGGUGACUCUGAAUAACUUUGGGCUGAUCGCACGGUCCUAGAACCGGCGACGCAUCUUUCAAAUGUCUGCCUUAUCAACUGUCGAUGGUAGGUUCUGCGCCUACCAUGGUUGUAACGGGUAACGGGGAAUCAGGGUUCGAUUCCGGAGAGGGAGCCUGAGAAACGGCUACCACAUCCAAGGAAGGCAGCAGGCGCGCAAAUUACCCACUCCCGGCACGGGGAGGUAGUGACGAAAAAUAACGAUACGGGACUCAUCCGAGGCCCCGUAAUCGGAAUGAGUACACUUUAAAUCCUUUAACGAGUAUCCAUUGGAGGGCAAGUCUGGUGCCAGCAGCCGCGGUAAUUCCAGCUCCAAUAGCGUAUAUUAAAGUUGUUGCGGUUAAAAAGCUCGUAGUUGGACUUGUGUCCCACGCUGUCGGUUCAUCGCUCGUCGGUGUCUAACUGGCAUGUAUCGUGGGACGUCCUGCCGGUGGUGGCGAGUCGAAGGCGCGCUCCCGUUGCGGUCCUCCGCAUCGGUUCUUGCGCGCCCAGACGGACCCCGAUCAAAUCCUACCGCGGUGCUCUUCAUUGAGUGUCGAGGUGGGCCGGCACGUUUACUUUGAACAAAUUAGAGUGCUUAAAGCAGGCCUGUUGCGCCUGAAUACUGUGUGCAUGGAAUAAUGGAAUAGGACCUCGGUUCUAUUUUGUUGGUUUUCGGAACCCGAGGUAAUGAUUAAUAGGGACAGGCGGGGGCAUUCGUAUUGCGACGUUAGAGGUGAAAUUCUUGG